AGCCUACCAUUCGCCGCGCGCUCGGGAGGGGGCCUGGGCCGGGGGCGGGGGCGCACCCUCGGCCCCCUGCGCCCCCCCACUUCGGGGACACACCCCCCGGGAGGCGGGGGUGGCUGGUGGCCGCCCAGGGUGGGCCGAGCGGGUGCCCCCGCCGCCGGGUGGGGGCCUCCGGGUCCAAGGCCGGCCCUCUGUCCCCUCCCUGGAGCGGUGGGGCAGCCCCCGCCCUGGCGAACUAGCCCCGCGCAGAGAACUGGGGCCCCCGAGGAGACCACAGGCUUUGCAGUUUUCACUGGGGCCCUGGAUUCCAGCCACUGGAUCUUGUUACCAUCAGGAGCUUAGUCCAUGCAAAUAGGACAAUUUAAAACAUCCUCUGUACCCCAGGACAACAGAGCACCAACAUUCUGCUCCCUUGACCUGGGGAGAGCAGCUCACUGCAGAAGCUGAUGAGGUGUUCCACAGAGGAGAGACAAGGAAACAAUGGGCCUGGGUGGGAAUUGAGCCAUUUACCCACAAGGCCCACAGGAACCAAGUGAUACCAGGACUGGAAGUGAGCACUUCUCCAAGUUACUUCCACUGUGCCAUGGGUGCUGUUUCCCCCCUUUUCUAUGGAGCCUAAAAAACCCACUCCAGUCCGGGCCCUCCCUGGUGGCGCAGCGGG